rnacentral:rRNA from 1 species
CGGACAGAUGGGAGCUUGCUCCCUGAUGUUAGCGGCGGACGGGUGAGUAACACGUGGGUAACCUGCCUGUAAGACUGGGAUAACUCCGGGAAACCGGGGCUAAUACCGGAUGCUUGUUUGAACCGCAUGGUUCAAACAUAAAAGGUGGCUUCGGCUACCACUUACAGAUGGACCCGCGGCGCAUUAGCUAGUUGGUGAGGUAAUGGCUCACCAAGGCAACGAUGCGUAGCCGACCUGAGAGGGUGAUCGGCCACACUGGGACUGAGACACGGCCCAGACUCCUACGGGAGGCAGCAGUAGGGAAUCUUCCGCAAUGGACGAAAGUCUGACGGAGCAACGCCGCGUGAGUGAUGAAGGUUUUCGGAUCGUAAAGCUCUGUUGUUAGGGAAGAACAAGUACCGUUCGAAUAGGGCGGUACCUUGACGGUACCUAACCAGAAAGCCACGGCUAACUACGUGCCAGCAGCCGCGGUAAUACGUAGGUGGCAAGCGUUGUCCGGAAUUAUUGGGCGUAAAGGGCUCGCAGGCGGUUUCUUAAGUCUGAUGUGAAAGCCCCCGGCUCAACCGGGGAGGGUCAUUGGAAACUGGGGAACUUGAGUGC